UUCUUGGCCAGCAGUAUCCCAGAUCUGGGCCUUGACGCUCUUGUGCUGAAUAACCAAGGUCCUAGUCUGAAACUCAACUCCGAUAGUAGCCUUAGAGUCUAAAUUGAACUCAUUCCUUGCAAAUCGAGCGAGUAUUUGCGAUUUCCCCACAGCGGAAUCCCCAAUCAGCACAACCUUGAACACGUAGUCUAUCUUCUGGCUCGGAUCUCCGUACCCUCCUCCACUCGCCAUUACCACUCUCAAACCUCUCCCUCUAAAGAACCAGAAAGCUCAAUUUCUCUCUUUAUAUCUCUCUGUGUAACAAGAAGAACAGCGAGAGAGAUCGAUGAAUCAAAGAAGAAGAAGAAGAAGAAGAAGA
rnacentral:misc_RNA from 1 species